rnacentral:rRNA from 1 species
AUUGAACGCUGGCGGCAGGCUUAACACAUGCAAGUCGAGCGGAGAUGAGGUGCUUGCACCUUAUCUUAGCGGCGGACGGGUGAGUAAUGCUUAGGAAUCUGCCUAUUAGUGGGGGACAACAUUCCGAAAGGAAUGCUAAUACCGCAUACGUCCUACGGGAGAAAGCAGGGGAUCUUCGGACCUUGCGCUAAUAGAUGCGCCUAAGUCAGAUUAGCUAGUUGGUGGGGUAAAGGCCUACCAAGGCGACGAUCUGUAGCGGGUCUGAGAGGAUGAUCCGCCACACUGGGACUGAGACACGGCCCAGACUCCUACGGGAGGCAGCAGUGGGGAAUAUUGGACAAUGGGGGGAACCCUGAUCCAGCCAUGCCGCGUGUGUGAAGAAGGCCUUAUGGUUGUAAAGCACUUUAAGCGAGGAGGAGGCUACUGAGACUAAUACUCUUGGAUAGUGGACGUUACUCGCAGAAUAAGCACCGUCUAACUCUGUGCCAGCCGCCGCCGUAA